AGUGGAAUUGCUGGCUUAUAUGGUAAAUUCUAUGUUUAAUUUUUUGAGGAAUCAUCAUAUUGUUUUCCACAGUGGUUGUAUCAUUUUACAUUCCCACCAGCAAU
rnacentral:pre_miRNA from 1 species